GGCACAUAAUCUCAUGUACCUUUCUGAUAAUUUUUAGGGGAAUUUAUUUCUCCGUGGCCCGUGCUUUGUGAGGCGUAAGACAUUUAUACAAGAUGUAUUAGAUAUUGAUAGUAAUGGUUUUGGUUUAUUAUUUUUGUUACGAUAGUGUUUUUUAAUCUUUAGCUUCUGUUGUAUCAAUUUCCAAAGCGUCGUGGUAAUUAGAAAGUGAAAUUAUACGUAGCAGUUUGUUGACCAUGCUGCAGAGAACGAUACUCUUGAUCGUAUAAAUAGCAAAUAAGCGAACGAAUUAGAUCGUGAUUUAGGAUUCGUUUUGGAAUAUGCUGGAGGAAUUCAAUCGUUUUCGUUACACAGCAAAGAUUAUUAACUUAAGGUGAUUUAACAACACUUAAUUUAUUUUAAAAUAGCAAUUUUAGUACAAAAGGUUUAGAAAAAUGGUCCAAUAAUCGAGAAUAGUAUUCUGAUAAUAAACUAGUAAUAAUCGAAGACAACAAUAAGCAAUGAUCCGGCAAAUAAUAAUCGAAUAGUGGACUGAUAAUAAUAAUCGAAUAAUAAUCUAAGAAAUAAUCUAAAAAAAUAACUUAAGAAAAUAAUAAUUAAAGCGACGGCCUGUGUAGCCAAAUAUAUAGAGAGCGUGUAACUAAUCAGCGAAAGGUGGCUUGCGGCUAAGUUGUCAUUGGUCCAUCGUGAUUCUAUCCCUGCUUACAGCAGAGACGACCAAUAGGAUCUCGUUCGAUGCGGAAUUGUGUUACCGGCUGAGAUAAAUACGUAGAGCGUUGCUUGUUGGUGGUAGGGGUGAAAUUUCGUAGAUUCGUCAUGUUCAUUACGUGCAUGUGUGAUUUCUACCGUUUCUCCAUUCCUCAUAUAUCAAGCUUGGGAAAACUUGUUAGCUUUUUAGUAUAUAGGUUAAUUUAGCGUUCGUGUUUUAUAAUAGUUACAAGAAAUACAUCCUUGUAUACUUACUUUUACAUAUAAUAUGUAUUAUUACUUGUAACAAAUCAAUAUCAACUAAUCUUCAAUCAAGGUUAGAACACAUGAAUAAAUUGAAAAGACCUGUGUAUACAUUUGUUAAAACUGACAAAGAAGCGAAUAUUAAAUGGGGUGUCCGACAUUAUAUUCCCAGAAUAAGUGAAAUAAAAGUUAACUGAACAAUUUUUGAUAGAAAUACAAUGUAGAAUAAGAGCCCAAGAAUAUAUAUUCUUAAUUGAAAAAUUGUAUAUGAAUUAUUUGAUGUAUUUAUAUUUUGUUGAUAUCAUAUGUAACUCUCUAAUUUAUUUCUCAUUUUAUUAUCUAUGUAUUAAACCAUCUAUUUCUUAGUGUAUUUUCUGUAUUUCUUUCAUAUAAUUAUUUUUCCUAUAGAAUAAAUACAACUUAUAAAAAUAUUACGAAAUGAAUAAAUUAAAACAUUUGUUUUAAUUAAGAAACAUGUAAAAAAUAAAGUCAUAUAUGUUCUACUACUAAAUUUUGAUAUUAAGCUGUCGUAAGAUUUUAUAGAUUUAUUAAGUUCAGUAUAAUACCCGCAAUUA